rnacentral:tRNA from 1 species
GCCUUCGUGGUGUAACUGAAAGCACACUCGGCUCAUAUUCUAAAGGUCCAGGUUCGACUCCCGGCGAGAGCA